rnacentral:lncRNA from 1 species
UAUAUAUAGGGUCCGGCUACUAUACUAUUAUGAGUACGAUCGCCCUCGUACUCAUAAGUUGUUUUCGAUGAUAGAGUUUCCGAAUCAACGAUCCACACCGUUAAACGUUAUUUACAGCAUUUAAAACUUCUAGAAAUCAAAUUUUAUAAUUUUUUGACAUCAUUUACCUUACGAUCAAGAGGUCACAAAUUUGACAAUUUUUAACGGCCAGUAUGGGAUACUUGCUAGUUUAACGGUGUAAAAGAAUUAGAAUUUGUUGAAUUUUUGAUAGAAAAUUCUAUUCACUACAUAGAUAAAGAUCAAUAACUCCGAUCUUGAAUUGAAGGAUCCGAUCAUCCUUUUUUANN